GCCGAAGUGGCGGAAUUGGUAGACGCGCUGCGUUCAGGGCGCAGUGGGCGUACGCUCAUCGGGGUUCGAGUCCCCGCUUCGGCACCA
rnacentral:tRNA from 3 species